CAGGGUCUUUCGACUGCCCAAACCAAACCGUGAACUCUUCACAAAGCAAUGCUUCGGCGGGUCGCUCGCUGGGGGAGCCCCGGGUCGCUGAAACACGCACCGGCCCGCCGAAGGCAUGCGAACCAAAACUACUUUUGAAAACUUUCUGAUGGUUUUGAUUUCCGCAAGGAAAAAAAUUAUCA
rnacentral:misc_RNA from 1 species